rnacentral:rRNA from 1 species
CCUACGGGUGGCAGCAGUGAGGAAUAUUGGUCAAUGGGCGCGAGCCUGAACCAGCCAAGUCGCGUGAGGGAAGACGGUCCUAUGGAUUGUAAACCUCUUUUGUCGGGGAGCAAAAGACGCCACGCGUGGCUUUCCGCGAGUACCCUAAGAAAAAGCAUCGGCUAACUCCGUGCCAGCAGCCGCGGUAAUACGGAGGAUGCGAGCGUUAUCCGGAUUUAUUGGGUUUAAAGGGUGCGCAGGAGGUAGUUAAAGUCAGCGGGAAAAUUUGGAGGCCAAACCUCUUCGAGCCGUUGAAACUGGUUUUCUUGAGUGAGUGAGAGGUAGGCGGAAUGCGUGGUGUAGCGGUGAAAUGCAUAGAUAUCACGCAGAACUCCGAGUGCGAAGGCAGCAUACCGGCGCACAACUGACGCUCAUGCACGAAAGUGUGGGUAUCGAACAGGAUUAGAUACCCUAGUAGUC